AGAGUUUGAUCCUGGCUCAGAUUGAACGCUGGCGGAAUGCUUUACACAUGCAAGUCGAACGGCAGCACGGGAGCUUGCUCCUGGUGGCGAGUGGCGAACGGGUGAGUAAUAUAUCGGAACGUAUCCAAUAAUGGGGGAUAACUAAUCGAAAGGUUGGCUAAUACCGCAUACGCCCUGAGGGGGAAAGCUGGGGAUCUUCGGACCUAGCGUUGAUGGAGCGGCCGAUAUCUGAUUAGCUAGUUGGUGAGGUAAAGGCUCACCAAGGCGACGAUCAGUAGCUGGUCUGAGAGGACGACCAGCCACACUGGAACUGAGACACGGUCCAGACUCCUACGGGAGGCAGCAGUGGGGAAUUUUGGACAAUGGGCGCAAGCCUGAUCCAGCCAUUCCGCGUGAGUGAAGAAGGCCUUCGGGUUGUAAACCGCUUUUGUCAGGGAAGAAACGGUUUGGGCUAAUACCCCGAACUAAUGACGGUACCCGAAGAAUAAGCACCGGCUAACUACGUGCCAGCAGCCGCGGUAAUACGUAGGGUGCAAGCGUUAAUCGGAAUUACUGGGCGUAAAGCGUGCGCAGGCGGCUUUGCAAGACAGAUGUGAAAUCCCCGGGCUCAACCUGGGAACUGCAUUUGUGACUGCAUGGCUAGAGUGCGGCAGAGGGGGAUGGAAUUCCGCGUGUAGCAGUGAAAUGCGUAGAUAUGCGGAGGAACACCGAUGGCGAAGCAAUCCCCUGGGCCUGCACUGACGCUCAUGCACGAAAGCGUGGGGAGCAACAGGAUUAGAUACCCUGCUAGUCCACGCCCUAAACGAUGUCAACUGAUUGUUGGACGGCUUGCUGUUCAGUAACGAAGCUAACGCGUGAAGUUGA
rnacentral:rRNA from 1 species